AAUAAAAAAAAAUAUUCCUUGUUUGUACAAAUAACUUAUGAACAAACAUUGAUCAUGUGAAUUGAAAGUACCUGCUUGACAAUAUUAUCGGCAAUUUGGCUGUAAAAUCGGAGCGACAUUUGAUUAUCGACUUCGAGUUUUUUGGUACUCGCUUCGAUAUCGAUUCUUGCUCCAGAAGAAGAUCGAGUCAUCGUUUUUAACCAAUUCCCUCCUUUCUAAAACAAUUUUUCACACUUUCAUCGAAUCGGUAAAUAUUUGUGUACUGUGUACAACCGUCAACAGUGAGGGAGACAAAGUUCCUCUGCAGUCGCCCCUGUCGGCUCUUCGCUUCGAAGAGAGAAGACAUUGCAACUACGAGGGAGAGGUCACUGAGGGAAUUGAGCGAGCAUAAAAAUGACAAAACUAAAGCUGAGCCAUAUUGGACACACAUCACAAUUCUUUAUCAUCACCUUCUUUCUUUUCAUUUUUUCUUCCAUUUUCAUUUUGCUCUUAUUCAUACUUCACUAUUUCAUUUGACAAGAGAAAGAAUAAUAUGGCCUUCUUACUUAUA
rnacentral:lncRNA from 1 species